rnacentral:lncRNA from 1 species
UGCUGACCAGAUGGAAAGGAAAGGUAUUGAGCACUCCUAGAACAAUCUUCAGAUGAAUUUUGCUGGAACUGAUUCUGCAUCUCAGACAUAUGGAACUGUUCAGGAACAUGAGAAUUGAGCACUUCUUUAUGGUGUUCAAUUCCAGGCUCUAUCUUCACUUGGUUUUCUACAUGAGAAUUGAGCACUUCUUUAUGGUGUUCAAUUCCAGGCUCUAUCUUCACUUGGUUUUCUAGAUUGGAAGACAACUGAGACUGAUUGAAUCCAUCGUCAUUGACCA